rnacentral:rRNA from 1 species
AUAUGGAGGGUGCAAGCGUUAUUCGGAAUCACUGGGCGUAAAGGACGCGUAGGCGGGUUGGCAAGUCAGAUGUGAAAUCCUACAGCUUAACUGUAGAACUGCAUUUGAAACUGCUAACCUAGGGUAUGGGAGGGGGAGAUGGAAUUAGUGGUGUAGGGGUAAAAUCCGUAGAUAUCACUAGGAAUACCGAAAGCGAAGGCGAUCUCCUGGAACAUAACUGACGCUAAGGCGUGAAAGCGUGGGGAGCAAACAGGAUUAGAAACCCUAGUAGUCC